AACGCUGGCGGCGUGCCUAAUACAUGCAAGUCGAACGAACGGAGGAAGAGCUUGCUCUUCCAAAGUUAGUGGCGGACGGGUGAGUAACACGUGGGCAACCUGCCUGUAAGUUGGGGAUAACUCCGGGAAACCGGGGCUAAUACCGAAUGAUAAAGUGUGGCGCAUGCCACGCUUUUGAAAGAUGGUUUCGGCUAUCGCUUACAGAUGGGCCCGCGGUGCAUUAGCUAGUUGGUAGGGUAAUGGCCUACCAAGGCAACGAUGCAUAGCCGACCUGAGAGGGUGAUCGGCCACACUGGGACUGAGACACGGCCCAGACUCCUACGGGAGGCAGCAGUAGGGAAUCUUCCGCAAUGGACGAAAGUCUGACGGAGCAACGCCGCGUGUAUGAAGAAGGUUUUCGGAUCGUAAAGUACUGUUGUUAGAGAAGAACAAGGAUAAGAGUAACUGCUUGUCCCUUGACGGUAUCUAACCAGAAAGCCACGGCUAACUACGUGCC
rnacentral:rRNA from 1 species